rnacentral:lncRNA from 10 species
AUCCGCCUGUCUCGGCCUCCCAAACUGCUGGGAUUACAGGCGUGAGCCACUGUGCCUGGCCAAGUUCUUAAAAUAAGACGGAAGUAAAGUCUGACUCAUCGAUUGACUUUCCAUUCAUGAAAGAUUUUUCUGUAGCUGUUUGAUAGCAAUUUACCCACAGUAGAACUUCUUUCAAAAUUAGAGUCAAUCCUCUAAAACCCUGCUGCUACUUUAUCAACUAAAUUUAGUAAUCUGCUUUUUGUUAUCGUUUCAACAGUGUUCACAGCAUCAUCACCAGGAGCGAUUCCAUUUCAAGAAACCAUUUAUUUGCACAUCCAUAUCUUCCGUCUCUAUUUCUAAUUCUGGUUCUCUUGCUAUUUCCACCCUAUCUGCAGUGACGUACUCCACUGAAGUCUUGAACCUGUCGGUCAAGGUUGGAACCAACUUCUUCUAAACUCCCGUUAAUAUUGACAUUUUGUAGUUCUGGCAAAUGUGGAAUAAAAAAA